AUUUCAUUAGUAUAAAAGUACAGUUGACUUCCAAUCAAAGAGUCUAAUCUAUUUAGAUGAAAUA
rnacentral:tRNA from 1 species